rnacentral:rRNA from 1 species
GAUGAACGCUGGCGGCGUGCCUAAUACAUGCCAGUCGAGCGAACGGACGAGAAGCUUGCUUCUCUGAUGUUAGCGGCGGACGGGUGAGUAACACGUGGAUAACCUACCUAUAAGACUGGGAUAACUUCGGGAAACCGGAGCUAAUACCGGAUAAUAUUUUGAACCGCAUGGUUCAAAAGUAAAAGACGGUCUUGCUGUCACUUAUAGAUGGAUCCGCGCUGCAUUAGCUGGUUGGUAAGGUAACGGCUUACCAAGGCAACGAUGCAUAGCCGACCUGAGAGGGUGAUCGGCCACACUGGAACUGAGACACGGUCCAGACUCCUACGGGAGGCAGCAGUAGGGAAUCUUCCGCAAUGGGCGAAAGCCUGACGGAGCAACGCCGCGUGAGUGAUGAAGGUCUUCGGAUCGUAAAACUCUGUUAUUAGGGAAGAACAUAUGUGUAAGUAACUGUGCACAUCUUGACGGUACCUAAUCAGAAAGCCACGGCUAACUACGUG